UUCCGGUUGAUCCUGCCGGACCUGACUGCUAUCGGAUUGAUACUAAGCCAUGCGAGUCAUUGUAGCAAUACAAGGCAUACGGCUCAGUAACGCGUAGUCAACCUAACCUAUGGACGGAAAUAACCUCGGGAAACUGAGAAUAAUGUCCGAUAGAACACUAUACCUGGAAUGGUUUGUGUUCCAAAUGAUUUAUCGCCGUAGGAUGGGACUGCGGCCUAUCAGUUUGUUGGUGAGGUAAUGGCCCACCAAGACUAUUACAGGUACGGGCUCUGAGAGGAGUAGCCCGGAGAUGGGUACUGAGACACGGACCCAGGCCCUAUGGGGCGCAGCAGGCGAGAAAACUUUGCAAUGUGCGAAAGCACGACAAGGUUAAUCCGAGUGAUUUGUGCUAAACGAAUCUUUUGUUAGUCUUAGAACCACUAACGAAUAAGGGGUGGGCAAGUUCUGGUGUCAGCCGCCGCGGUAAAACCAGCACCUCAAGUGGUCAGGAUGAUUAUUGGGCCUAAAGCAUCCGUAGCCGGCUCUGUAAGUUUUCGGUUAAAUCUGUACGCUCAACGUACAGGCUGCCGGGAAUACUGCAGAGCUAGGGAGUGGGAAAGGUAGACGGUACUCGGAAGGAAGGGGUAAAAUCCUUUGAUCUUUUGAGACCACCUGUGGCGAAGCGGUCUACCAAAACACGUCCGACGGUAAGGGAUGAAACUGGGGGAGCAAACCCGAUUAAUACCGGGGUACCAGCUGUAACUAUGCAACCUCAGUGAUGCAUUGACUUGUGUCGUGAGGUACCGCAAGAAGCCGUUAAGUUUGCCGCCUGGGGAUACGUACGCAGUAUGGGGUUAAGGA
rnacentral:rRNA from 1 species